rnacentral:tRNA from 1 species
AGCAGAGUGGCGCAGUGGAAGCGUGCUGGGCCCAUAACCCAGAGGUCGGUAGAUCGAAACUACCUCUGCUA